AUUCCUACGGGAGGCAGCAGGGGGGAAUAUUGGACAAUGGGCCACAAGCCUGAUCCAGCAAUUCUGUGUGCACGAUGAAGGUCUUCGGAUCGUAAAGUGCUUUCAGUUGGGAAGAAGAAAGUGACGGUACCAACAGAAGAAGCGACGGCUAAAUACGUGCCAGCAGCCGCGUAAUAAU
rnacentral:rRNA from 1 species